UACGUAGGGGGCAAGCGUUGUCCGGAUUUAUUGGGCGUAAAGAGCGUGUAGGCGGCCAGGUAGGUGGGUUGUGAAAACUGGAGGCUCAACCUUCAGAGGUCGACCGAAACCAUCUGGCUAGAGUCCGGGAGAGGAGAGUGGAAUUCCUGGUGUAGCGGUGAAAUGCGCAGAUAUCAGGAAGAACACCCGUGGCGAAAGCGGCUCUCUGGACCGGUACUGACGCUGAGACGCGAAAGCGUGGGGAGCGAACAGG
rnacentral:rRNA from 1 species